CACCUGUAAGGGUGGGUGGCAUUGAGUGUGUGCAAAUGCCAGAUCUUCCACCUAUCCCCUUGCUUCUCCCAGGCCCAGAGCUCCAGAAGCAAUCUGACUGAGUUGGGAGAUGAUCACAGCACCUGGCAUGAGGCCGACCCAAUUAAGGGCAGCAGGCAGAACUCAACCUGAGGAAGCUGUAGCUGUGCUUGGGCCGCCUUGUUGGGCACCUUCAGGUCCUUUGCAUAGAGCCUGUGAACAUUGCUGGGCAGAGCCUGUCCAUGAAGUGUGUGCCCAUGCAGGCCUGGCCCCUGAUGGGGUGUCACUGUGUGCUCCAAGAUGGCCUUGAACUCCUGAGCUCAAGUGAUCCUCCUGCCUCAAGUUCCCAAUUAUUUGGGAGUACAGACAUUCAUCACCGACAUUCAUCAGCAUGCCCAGGUUUGUUGGCAUUCUUAAAAUGUGUGUGUGUGUGUGUGUGUGUGUGUGUGUGUGUGUGUGUGUGUGUGUGUGUACAUGUACACAUACACA